UUGGAAAUAUCUUAUCCCAACACUGUAAAAACAGCCAAAGAAAAGAAAAGAAUGAAAGAAAACAUCAUGAGAGAACAUCCAGAAGCAAUGAUCUCCGAUUACAUGGGACUGGAGGACAACAAGGUCCUGUGUAACCUCCUGUUCUUCACAAAUCACCCCACAGUAUGGCAUACCACCCUCUGCACUGUCUGGAAAUGUGUGAGAAAAGGAGGCAUCAGCAGAGGAAGACAGAUUACACUAGAGGGGGCAAAGGACUUUAAGUAAUACAGGCCCCAAGACACCCUCCUCUGACACCACAAAAAUGAGAGAUGUGAUAGUUCAACUUGAACAGGACUACAUCAUGUUCAAAGAGGAAACCGCUCUCAGCUUACAGCAACUUCAAGACCAAAUCAUCCACCCUGACAGGAACAUGGUGCAACAACUUUGCUCGGCAGUAAGGCAGCUGGAGGAGGCCAACCAAGAGUUGCGGCAGGAGGUGAGGUCUCUGAAGGAAGAGCUGUUGAGGAUGGCACGGCACAGAGAGAAUCCAAGGGAUCAUACCCUGGAAAGCAGGAACAGUGAGCCAUCAGUCAAAAAUCCCAUCUUGUCUGAAAGUGCCACAGUCUCUGUCAAUGUGCCUGUAGCUCCAGCUUCACCUCAUGACCAACCUCCCAAACCCCAGCAACGCACCUGCCAAAGCAGACCACCCUCCUCUUCAGCAAACAUCAGUCAGGGACAACAAGGGACAAAGUCUCAAAGCAAGGAACAGGAUGACAUCAUCCUGUGUGACUCUAAUGGGAAUCAUCUGAACCCCAGACGACUUUUCCCUAGAAGACAAGUCAAGACGUUUUGGUGUCCAACGACACACACAGCUAAGGACAUAAUACAAAAAGGCUUACUCAAUAAUCCAUCUCACAUAAUUAUCCAUACAGGGACUAAUGACCUUAAAGACAGGAGAACUGAUGUGGCAGAAGCCUUAA